GCGGGGAUCGUUGGUCGGCGCGGUCUCGGUGGGCCGAAGGACCUGUUUCCCUGCUGUAUCUCAAAAUUAAACUAAACUACAUCUUGUGGUUUUACAUAGAGAUUUUUCCCCAAUGGGUCUUAUCCUUUUACUGGAUCAACAUAAAAUGCUUUGGACCUGUUCUUAAUCUUGUCUACCAGUAUUACUUUGUAUUGCUCUACUUCUAAUACAAUUUUAUCCCCUUUUACUUCUAAAUACUUCCCCCUUUUAAUUCAAUUCAAAAUAACUUUUCUCUUCCAAAACCAAUAGGAUAAAUGGCAGACAUCGGUAGUGUGACAACAAUUAUAUCUCACCUGAACCAGACAUUAUUCUUUCUGAAGACACAAAGAUUCCACCGAGUGGCGCCUUUCCUUCUUUGUGUUUUAAUUGUAUGUGUUAAAUGUAUGUUUUUAGUGUUCUUUAGUUUGUUUCAUGGGGAGGGGGGGGGACUUUUUCUAAUCUCUUACCUCGACGAGGAUACGAUUAUGUUCCAUAUCGUAUCUCCGCUCACAUACUAACAUCGAGGAGUUGGCGGCCUUUGCUGGAGACUGAAUUUGAGUGCUCCUACUGUGGACACCUACGGGGCUUUCACAUCGCAGAGCCCGUGUUCCCUUUGCCAUCCAACCGUGGGUGUUUGCGGACUUAACAUAACGGAGCUCGCGGUCUCUGGUCAGAAACUGACUUCGGGAACUCACCGCUGCAGGACCUUCGAGCGCCCCAACAGGAGGGCUUCGAUUGCCGGCCGCGGAAGUUUCGAUCGUCCCGAUUUGCGGAUGGUUCAACUGCCCCGACCGAGGGAGAAUAAAGAGGAAGAAGAUUGGACUUAGCUUUGCCAUCCAACACAGUGAGGAAUGUGGAAUCCGCUGUGGUGGAUGUUUAUGUUAACCAUGAUGUAGUCGUGUGCCUUGUUGCUUUUUUUCCCUUGUGGGUGUAUGGUAAUUCACAUAUAACUCUACCUUAAUUGGUACAUGUGACUAUAAAUACCUUUGCAGAUGCUGUAUUUUUGUUUAGAACAAAGUGUUGGAGUAAUUCAAAGGGUCAGGCAGCAUCUCUGGAAGACAUGGAUAGGCAACGUUUCAGAUUGGGACCCUUCUUCAGACUAAUGUAGGGGAAAGAAAGCUGGAAAUAAAGUGGGGUGGGGUUAGGUGGGGGGACACUUGACAGGCUUUGUCCUGCCCCAUCUCUUCAGCUUUCUCCCGCCUAUUUUGAAACGUCACCUGUCCACAUUCUACAGAAAUGUUGCUUGACCCGCUGAGUUACUCCAGCACUUUGUGUUCUAUGCAUUAUCCUUUCAGAAGUAAUCUGCAACUUUCCAAUGGACUAUUGUUUCAGAUGAUACAUUAUUGCUUCAGUAUUUUAAAGCAUGUAGGCCUGGUUGACAUUGUAUUGCAAUUAAUAUAUAGUUUAUUCCAAUAGAAACUAAUUUUUGAAUUAAACAUCAUAGAUGCACUUGG